GGGUUCGGACAGAUAUUUAGAAAUGAUGUUGGGGUCGGGCUCGGUCAUAUCAGCGCAAUAAGGCAUUGAACAUUUUAAAUUUAAAAAAACUUAUUAUGUAGGUGUGCCCCUGUGUUAACGUGCCCUUGUCGCCCCGUGUGAGCUGAUGACCAUCUGUUGAUAUUUAUAAAAAUAAGGCUUCGGUCAACAGUCUUAAGUCUUUGAUCUUUACGCAAAGAAGGUUCAGUACAGAAGAGUCCGAGAGAACAAACAAAGGAACUAGAAAUCAGAUGGUACUUAUGUACUUCUGUUGCUGAACAGAAAAGGCCUGGUUGUGACAGAACUGCAAGG